rnacentral:rRNA from 1 species
UACGUAGGGAGCAAGCGUUAUCCGGAAUUACUGGGUGUAAAGGGUGUGCAGGCGGUUUUGCAAGUUAAAUGUCAAAGACUACUGCUCAACAGUAGAAAGGCAUUUAAUACUGUUAAACUAGAGGACGAAAGAGGGAAGUGGAAUUCCCGGUGUAGCGGUGAAAUGCGUAGGUAUCGGGAGGAACACCAAUUGCGAAGGCAGCUUCCUGGUUCGUUCCUGACGCUCAUACACGAAAGCCAGGGGAGCAAACCGG